GGGUUGUGAGGUUAAGCGACUAAGCGUACACGGUGGAUGCCCUGGCAGUCAGAGGCGAUGAAGGACGUGCUAAUCUGCGAUAAGCGUCGGUAAGGUGAUAUGAACCGUUAUAACCGGCGAUUUCCGAAUGGGGAAACCCAGUGUGUUUCGACACACUAUCAUUAACUGAAUCCAUAGGUUAAUGAGGCGAACCGGGGGAACUGAAACAUCUAAGUACCCCGAGGAAAAGAAAUCAACCGAGAUUCCCCCAGUAGCGGCGAGCGAACGGGGAGCAGCCCAGAGCCUGAAUCAGUGUGUGUGUUAGUGGAAGCGUCUGGAAAGGCGCGCGAUACAGGGUGACAGCCCCGUACACAAAAAUGCACAUGCUGUGAGCUCGAUGAGUAGGGCGGGACACGUGGUAUCCUGUCUGAAUAUGGGGGGACCAUCCUCCAAGGCUAAAUACUCCUGACUGACCGAUAGUGAACCAGUACCGUGAGGGAAAGGCGAAAAGAACCCCGGCGAGGGGAGUGAAAAAGAACCUGAAACCGUGUACGUACAAGCAGUGGGAGCACGCUUAGGCGUGUGACUGCGUACCUUUUGUAUAAUGGGUCAGCGACUUAUAUUCUGUAGCAAGGUUAACCGAAUAGGGGAGCCGAAGGGAAACCGAGUCUUAACUGGGCGUUAAGUUGCAGGGUAUAGACCCGAAACCCGGUGAUCUAGCCAUGGGCAGGUUGAAGGUUGGGUAACACUAACUGGAGGACCGAACCGACUAAUGUUGAAAAAUUAGCGGAUGACUUGUGGCUGGGGGUGAAAGGCCAAUCAAACCGGGAGAUAGCUGGUUCUCCCCGAAAGCUAUUUAGGUAGCGCCUCGUGAACUCAUCUCCGGGGGUAGAGCACUGUUUCGGCAAGGGGGUCAUCCCGACUUACCAACCCGAUGCAAACUGCGAAUACCGGAGAAUGUUAUCACGGGAGACACACGGCGGGUGCUAACGUCCGUCGUGAAGAGGGAAACAACCCAGACCGCCAGCUAAGGUCCCAAAGUCAUGGUUAAGUGGGAAACGAUGUGGGAAGGCCCAGACAGCCAGGAUGUUGGCUUAGAAGCAGCCAUCAUUUAAAGAAAGCGUAAUAGCUCACUGGUCGAGUCGGCCUGCGCGGAAGAUGUAACGGGGCUAAACCAUGCACCGAAGCUGCGGCAGCGACGCUUAUGCGUUGUUGGGUAGGGGAGCGUUCUGUAAGCCUGUGAAGGUGUACUGUGAGGUAUGCUGGAGGUAUCAGAAGUGCGAAUGCUGACAUAAGUAACGAUAAAGCGGGUGAAAAGCCCGCUCGCCGGAAGACCAAGGGUUCCUGUCCAACGUUAAUCGGGGCAGGGUGAGUCGACCCCUAAGGCGAGGCCGAAAGGCGUAGUCGAUGGGAAACAGGUUAAUAUUCCUGUACUUGGUGUUACUGCGAAGGGGGGACGGAGAAGGCUAUGUUGGCCGGGCGACGGUUGUCCCGGUUUAAGCGUGUAGGCUGGUUUUCCAGGCAAAUCCGGAAAAUCAAGGCUGAGGCGUGAUGACGAGGCACUACGGUGCUGAAGCAACAAAUGCCCUGCUUCCAGGAAAAGCCUCUAAGCAUCAGGUAACAUCAAAUCGUACCCCAAACCGACACAGGUGGUCAGGUAGAGAAUACCAAGGCGCUUGAGAGAACUCGGGUGAAGGAACUAGGCAAAAUGGUGCCGUAACUUCGGGAGAAGGCACGCUGAUAUGUAGGUGAGGUCCCUCGCGGAUGGAGCUGAAAUCAGUCGAAGAUACCAGCUGGCUGCAACUGUUUAUUAAAAACACAGCACUGUGCAAACACGAAAGUGGACGUAUACGGUGUGACGCCUGCCCGGUGCCGGAAGGUUAAUUGAUGGGGUUAGCGCAAGCGAAGCUCUUGAUCGAAGCCCCGGUAAACGGCGGCCGUAACUAUAACGGUCCUAAGGUAGCGAAAUUCCUUGUCGGGUAAGUUCCGACCUGCACGAAUGGCGUAAUGAUGGCCAGGCUGUCUCCACCCGAGACUCAGUGAAAUUGAACUCGCUGUGAAGAUGCAGUGUACCCGCGGCAAGACGGAAAGACCCCGUGAACCUUUACUAUAGCUUGACACUGAACAUUGAGCCUUGAUGUGUAGGAUAGGUGGGAGGCUUAGAAGUGUGGACGCCAGUCUGCAUGGAGCCGACCUUGAAAUACCACCCUUUAAUGUUUGAUGUUCUAACGUUGACCCGUAAUCCGGGUUGCGGACAGUGUCUGGUGGGUAGUUUGACUGGGGCGGUCUCCUCCUAAAGAGUAACGGAGGAGCACGAAGGUUGGCUAAUCCUGGUCGGACAUCAGGAGGUUAGUGCAAUGGCAUAAGCCAGCUUGACUGCGAGCGUGACGGCGCGAGCAGGUGCGAAAGCAGGUCAUAGUGAUCCGGUGGUUCUGAAUGGAAGGGCCAUCGCUCAACGGAUAAAAGGUACUCCGGGGAUAACAGGCUGAUACCGCCCAAGAGUUCAUAUCGACGGCGGUGUUUGGCACCUCGAUGUCGGCUCAUCACAUCCUGGGGCUGAAGUAGGUCCCAAGGGUAUGGCUGUUCGCCAUUUAAAGUGGUACGCGAGCUGGGUUUAGAACGUCGUGAGACAGUUCGGUCCCUAUCUGCCGUGGGCGCUGGAGAACUGAGGGGGGCUGCUCCUAGUACGAGAGGACCGGAGUGGACGCAUCACUGGUGUUCGGGUUGUCAUGCCAAUGGCACUGCCCGGUAGCUAAAUGCGGAAGAGAUAAGUGCUGAAAGCAUCUAAGCACGAAACUUGCCCCGAGAUGAGUUCUCCCUGACCCUUUAAGGGUCCUGAAGGAACGUUGAAGACGACGACGUUGAUAGGCCGGGUGUGUAAGCGCAGCGAUGCGUUGAGCUAACCGGUACUAAUGAACCGUGAGGCUUAACCUUACAACGCCGAAGCUGUU
rnacentral:rRNA from 1 species